rnacentral:rRNA from 1 species
CCUGACUACGAUAGCGAGGCGUGCACGGCGUCCAAGUUCCGCCCGGAGACUAAAACUGAGAGCCACUGCGGCGGCCCGGGCCCGCUCGGCCUGUGGUUCAACCAGAAAUCGGGCAACCUCUACGUGGCCGACGCGAAAGGGCUCAUGCGGGUAGUGCCGGGCGGCGGGGAGGCGACCGUGCUGGUCAACCAGGUUGAUGGUUUUCGUCUCCGCUUCACCAACGAGGUCGGCGUCGACCAAGGUACCGGCCAAGUCUACUUCACCGACAGCUCGAUGAACUUCGCGAGGUCGCAACAUGGGCUGGUCACCAAGACAGGAUGACGUCCCCAAAUGGCGUCGACCGACCGGACACACCUCGUGGCUGCGUCUACCGGUCUGUGCAAGCUGCUAAGGCGCAGGACCAGAGGGGUCAACGUAGGCACAUCCGAGCCUUUCGCCGACCUGCCUGGCUACCCGGAUAACAUGAGGCCGGACAAGGGAGGUUAUUGGGUGGGGUUGCACUGUGAGAAGAAUGAGCUGCCCUUUAGUCGUGAUAACCAUCUUCUCAUAUCGAGGGUCGGUGCCAAUGAGAAGAUAAUCGAGGAGAUGAGAGGUCCAAAGAAAGUCAGGCUGACCAAGAUCAUGAAGAGAGAUAAUGGCAAACUCUACAUGGGUUCAGUGGAGCUUCGUCACGUAGGCGUUGUUAAACGCAAGUAG